UGUAAAUCAUAUCAAACUGACUCUCAGGGCCAAAGAAAACAGGCAGCUGGAUUCCAUCCCUGGAGCUAAGAAUCAGCCCUUAAAUACUGCUUGAAUAUACACUUUAUACGAGCUACAGUAAAACUCAUUUUCGAGCAUUAUUUUCCCACACGUCCCAGAAGGCGCACACAGCAACUCUCUGCAUAUGGAUGUGAAUGGGGCACAACAACGGGACAGUGAUGUGGAGCAUGAAGGCAGAGUUCCCUCAUAUGUUGAAGACUGCACCUGAUGAUGACAAAGACUGGAAAGAGAAGAGCAGGCAAGACAAAUGAGGGGAGGUAGUGAGUGGCAUAGAGGUGAUUAUUUCUGCAGGAUAAAUUACAUGAUUUGCUGGGGAGGAAGCAAAGGGACAAUUCCCAGGACUAAACCACAGAUCUCCAGUUUAGUGACCUGUCUCCUGGAAUACCCUUGGAGAGCAGGACCAGGAAACUACUGAAAUUUUGUAGCUCCGGAACUAAAGUUUGGCUUUGAUACAAGAAGACUAUCUUCAAGCUCCAAGGAACUGUUUUCUAAAAUUCUCAGCAACUUUCCCCCAUAAGUCUUCACGGUGCUGAUAUCAUACAGGGGAAAAGAUCCCAGCACAACUGGUGUGCAGAAACAAAAAGGAAUUGAAGCUCUUUAGAAUUCCACUUCUUCAGAGAGUUCUCUAGAAGCACGUAAGUUUUUGGAAGUUAACACAGUAUGUCGGUGAAUCCAAUUACUACACAGGCAUAGAAAAUAUCUGGUCCUACCUAAAAGGCAUUCUAACAAUUUGAACUUUGCCUAUGGGUAGAUAUACAAGCCUACGGUAUACAUUCCUCAUUGAAUUGGAAAACAGAUUGUCAUUAGAAUUGCUAAUUAAAUGACUUACCAUCCAGCAUAAUAGGUUUGCU